UAUAGCAUAGCUUUAAUGUAUUGGAUCCCAUUAGAACUCCACAAUUAAGCGCGCUUAGGCUAGAGUAGUACUCGGAUGGGUGACCAUAAAAACAUAUAUUAGUGGCUAAAA
rnacentral:rRNA from 1 species